UUUUCUGUCUCAAUUUCAAAAGCCACUCAUCUGUUACAGUAGUUGUCUGGGAAGAGCAAUCCUCACUCCUGGAAUCAAGUCAACGGGAGAGACAA